CUCAGAGUAAAGCAGUGCAGGAUGAGAACCACUGGUUCGAGCCGAGCGAAGCGAGACGACAACGCGAAUGCGUUGCCCAUAGGGUGAGCUCGCAGAGCGAAUCAAUCCAGCACGGCCCACCA
rnacentral:sRNA from 1 species